UGGGCAUGCGGGAGCUGAUCAGCAUGCCGCGUGUGUGAAGAAGGCCUUCGGGUUGUAAAGCACUUUUGUCCGGAAAGAAAUCCUUGGCUCUAAUACAGUCGGGGGAUGACGGUACCGGAAGAAUAAGCACCGGCUAACUACGUGCCAGCAGCCGCGGUAAUACGUAGGGUGCGAGCGUUAAUCGGAAUUACUGGGCGUAAAGCGUGCGCAGGCGGUUUGCUAAGACCGAUGUGAAAUCCCCGGGCUCAACCUGGGAACUGCAUUGGUGACUGGCAGGCUAGAGUAUGGCAGACGGGGGUAGAAUUCCACGUGUAGCAGUGAAAUGCGUAAAAAUGUGAAGGAAUACCGAUGGCGAAGGCAGCCCCCUGGGCCAAUACUGACGCUCAUGCACGAAAGCGUGGGGAGCAAACAGGAUUACAUACCCCAGUAGUCC
rnacentral:rRNA from 1 species